ACCUAGAUAGCUUAUUUAAGAGCGUGACACUGAAGAUGUUAAGGAAAUAUUUUUAUUUUUAGGUG
rnacentral:tRNA from 1 species